GGGAGAGGCUCGCCAGCAACGAGGACUGCUAACUUUCGCCCCCUUGGUUGAACUCCAAGGCUCGCUCA
rnacentral:tRNA from 1 species